AUGAAAUAGUGAAAGAAUGUUAGCAUGUUUUGUCGCGGCGCGUAUGUGUCUUCGCUAACUAUCCCUUUUCAUCGUUGUGUUGCUUUGGCUCGGUUGAGGAUCAAUUGAAAGCGCAAACUGAAUUUUGAAUUCCACCAUUUCUCGCACGGAUAAUAUAUUUCUGCAAUAGCUUAUGGACAACUUUUAGCCUCAUUCGAGCAUUUGUUGCGGUUACAACCCGAAUUUGUCGAUCGGAAAAUCAGCCGCACGAGUGAAGCAACAUACUAGAGAAAAAGGCGGAUUAGCAUCACACGGAUGCCAAACCACCAUCCGAAAUCGUCAGCAUGUGAAUUUAUCUGCUUACAAGUUUGCUAACUUUCAGAAGUGCGCUGUCGUGUUUCAUGUUGAAUCAGAUUUGCUGUGGAUAGAUUCAAAGCACUUUCUCAGCAGUACACUUCCUGAUUAUACAUUUUUCAUGUUGCUCCUUGUGGCUCAUGGUCAAUAGUACACCAAGCAGUAGAAAAUCUUUACAGAGA